UACGUAGGGUGCGAGCGUUGUCCGGAAUUAUUGGGCGUAAAGGGCUCGUAGGCGGUCUGUUGCGUCGGGAGUGAAAACUCAGGGCUUAACCCUGAGCCUGCUUCCGAUACGGGCAGACUAGAGGUAUGCAGGGGAGAACGGAAUUCCUGGUGUAGCGGUGAAAUGCGCAGAUAUCAGGAGGAACACCGGUGGCGAAGGCGCACAUCUGGCCCGAUACUGACGCUAAAGCGCGAAAGCUAGGGGAGCAAACGGG
rnacentral:rRNA from 1 species